rnacentral:tRNA from 2 species
GCGAAAGUGGCGGAAUUGGUAGACGCACCAGAUUUAGGUUCUGGCGCCGCAAGGUGUGGGGGUUCGAGUCCCCCCUUUCGCACCA